UACGUAGGGCGCAAGCGUUAUCCGGAAUUAUUGGGCGUAAAGAGCUCGUAGGCGGUUUGUCGCGUCUGCCGUGAAAGUCCGGGGCUCAACCCCGGAUCUGCGGUGGGUACGGGCAGACUAGAGUGAUGUAGGGGAGACUGGAAUUCCUGGUGUAGCGGUGAAAUGCGCAGAUAUCAGGCGGAACACCGAUGGCGAAGGCAGGUCUCUGGGCAUUAACUGACGCUGAGGAGCGAAAGCAUGGGGAGCGAACAGG
rnacentral:rRNA from 1 species